rnacentral:rRNA from 1 species
AGCCCUGUAUGUGAAAACAUCGUGGUGGUACUGAGCGUACGAUAAGUAGGGCGGGACACGUGAAAUCCUGUCUGAAGAUGGGGGGACCAUCCUCCAAGGCUAAAUACUCGUGAUCGACCGAUAGUGAACCAGUACCGUGAGGGAAAGGCGAAAAGAACCCCGGGAGGGGAGUGAAAUAGAUCCUGAAACCGCAUGCAUACAAACAGUGGGAGCCUCGAAAGGGGUGACUGCGUACCUUUUGUAUAAUGGGUCAGCGACUUACGUUCAGUAGCGAGCUUAACCGAAUAGGGGAGGCGUAGCGAAAGCGAGUCUGAAUAGGGCGAUUCAGUUGCUGGGCGUAGACCCGAAACCAGAUGAUCUAUCCAUGGCCAGGAUGAAGGUGCCGUAACAGGUACUGGAGGUCCGAACCCACUAAUGUUGAAAAAUUAGGGGAUGAGCUGUGGAUAGGGGUGAAAGGCUAAACAAAUCUGGAAAUAGCUGGUUCUCCCCGAAAACUAUUUAGGUAGUGCCUCAUGUAUCACUCUCGGGGGUAGAGCACUGUAAUGGUUGGGGGGGUCAUUGCGAUCUACCCCGCCAUAGCAAACUCCGAAUACCGAGAAGUGCGAGCAUGGGAGACAGACGGUGGGUGCUAACGUCCAUCGUCAAGAGGGAAACAACCCAGACCGCCAGCUAAGGCCCCAAAUGCGUGGCUAAGUGGAAAACGAGGUGGGAAGGCAUAGACAGCCAGGAGGUUGGCUUAGAAGCAGCCAUCCUUUAAAGAAAGCGUAAUAGCUCACUGGUCGAGUCGUCCUGCGCGGAAGAUGUAACGGGGCUCAAGCCACGAGCCGAAGCUGCGGAUAUGUCGUAAGACAUAUGGUAGGGGAGCGUUCUGUAAGUCUGCGAAGGUGUCUGGUAACGGAUGCUGGAGAUAUCAGAAGUGCGAAUGCUGACAUGAGUAGCGAUAAAGCGGGUGAAAGGCCCGCUCGCCGAAAGCCCAAGGUUUCCUACGCAACGUUCAUCGGCGUAGGGUGAGUCGGCUCCUAAGGCGAGGCCGAAAGGCGUAGUCGAUGGGAAACAGGUCAAUAUUCCUGUACCAGUCCAUGAUGCGAUGGGGGGACGGAGAAGGUUAUAGCAGCCGGGUGUUGGACGUCCCGGUUUAAGCAGGUAGGCGUGCUGCGUAGGCAAAUCCGCGCGGCUUAGCCGAGAUGUGAUGACGAGGACCCACGUGGUCCGAAGUGCUAGAUACCACGCUUCCAAGAAAAGCCUCUAAGCUUCAGUCAUGGAUUGACCGUACCGCAAACCGACACAGGUGGGCAGGAUGAAAAUUCUCAGGCGCUUGAGAGAACCCAGGAGAAGGAACUCGGCAAAUUGAUACCGUAACUUCGGGAGAAGGUAUGCCCCUCGUACGUGAAGUCCCUCGCGGAUGGAGCGGAAAGGGGUCGCAGAGAAUCGGUGGCUGCGACUGUUUAAUAAAAACACAGCACUCUGCAAACACGAAAGUGGACGUAUAGGGUGUGACGCCUGCCCGGUGCCGGAAGGUUAAAUGAUGGGGUGCAAGCUCUUGAUUGAAGCCCCGGUAAACGGCGGCCGUAACUAUAACGGUCCUAAGGUAGCGAAAUUCCUUGUCGGGUAAGUUCC